UCAUGGUUGACCUGCAAUACGCCACAGUAUUAUAAUCCCCCUGUUGAUUGAGCCUGUCUAGUGGGAGGGGCCAUGGGGUAUAAAAUGGGUGAGCUGCUGUCCUUCUGACAGUCUGCUGUAUGCUGUUGCCAGAAGAGGUUGUCUGUGUUGAGCAGGGUGCUCAGCUCUCCACGAGAUGCUAAAUAUCUACUGAGGUUAGAGACUUUUUGAGGUAAAGAGGAGCAUCUCAUCUGAACCUGAUGUCUAUCAUGGAUAUUUAACUGCAGUUCUGUGAGUAUCCCAACUUGACCAUGAAG